rnacentral:rRNA from 1 species
GAUGAACGCUAGCGGCACGGCCUAACACAUGCAAGUACGAGGGGGAGGUUACUUUCGGGUGACUGAGACCGGCGUACGGGUGCGUAACGCGUAUACAAUCUGCCUUUCACUGGGGGAUAGCCCGAAGAAAUUUGGAUUAAUACCCCAUAGUAUAGUAAUACGGCAUCGUGAUAUUAUUCAAGCUUAGGUGGUGAAAGAUGAGUAUGCGUUCUAUUAGCUAGUUGGAGAGGUAACGGCUCCCCAAGGAUACGAUAGAUAGGGGUUCUGAGAGGGAUGUCCCCCACACUGGUAACUGAGAUACGGACCAGACUCGUACGGGAGGCAGCAGUGAGGAAUAUUGGACGAAUGGUCGGAAGACUGAUCCAGCCAUGCCGCGUGCAGGAUGACUGCCCUAUGGGUUGUAAACUGCUUUUGUAAGGGAAGAAUAAGGACUACGUGUAGAUUGAUGACGGUACCUUACGAAUAAGCAUCGCGCUAACUCCGUGCCAGCAGCCGCGGUAAUACAGAGGAUGCGAGCGUUAUCCGGAAUCAUUGGGUUUAACAGGGUCUGUACGCGGGCUUGUAAGUCAGAGGUGAAAGCGCUUAGCUCAACUAAGCAACUGCCUUUGAAACUGUUGGUCUUGAAUGGUUGUGAAGUAGUUGGAAUGUGUAGUGUAUCGGUGAAAUGCUUAGAUAUUACACAGAACACCGAUAGCGAAGGCAUAUUACUAACAAUUAAUUGACGCUGAUGGACGAAAGCGUGGGGAGCGAACAGGAUUAGAUACCCUGGUAGUCCACGCUGUAAACGAUGGAUACUAGCUGUUAUGGUUUAAGGAUUGAGUGGCUAAGCGAAAGUGAUAAGUAUCCCACCUGGGGAGUACCUUCGCAAGAAUGAAACUCAAAAGGAAUUGACGGGGGGCCCCGCACAAAGCGGGAGGGAACAAUGGUGGGGU